rnacentral:rRNA from 1 species
UACCAGCACCCCGAGUGGUCGGGACGUUUAUUGGGCCUAAAGCAUCCGUAGCCGGUUCUACAAGUCUUCCGUUAAUUCCACCUGCUUAACAGAUGGGCUGCGGAAGAUACUAUAGAGCUAGGAGGCGGGAGAGGCAAGCGGUACUCGAUGGGUAGGGGUAAAAUCCGUUGAUCCAUUGAAGACCACCAGUGGCGAAGGCGGCUUGCCAGAACGCGCUCGACGGUGAGGGAUGAAAGCUGGGGGAGCAAACCGG